GUGUCAGCAGCCGCGGUAAUACGUAGGGUGCGAGCGUUAAUCGGAAUUACUGGGCGUAAAGCGUGCGCAGGCGGUGCGCCAAGCUCGAUGUGAAAGCCCCGGGCUUAACCUGGGAAUUGCAUUGAGGACUGGCGUGCUCGAGUGCGGCAGAGGGGGGUGGAAUUCCACGUGUAGCAGUGAAAUGCGUAGAGAUGUGGAGGAACACCGAUGGCGAAGGCAGCCCCCUGGGCCGACACUGACGCUCAUGCACGAAAGCGUGGGGAGCAAACAGGAUUAGAUACCCUGGUAGUCCACGCCCUAAACGAUGUCGACUGGUUGUUGGGGAAGGCAACUUCCUUAGUAACGAAGCUAACGCGUGAAGUCGACCGCCUGGGGAGUACGGCCGCAAGGUUAAA
rnacentral:rRNA from 1 species